ensembl:lncRNA
AUCCGGUCUCAAACCAGGAAGUUAGCAUUUUCUUGUGCACAGGGUCUAUUAUGGAUCUUCAGAUCCACAUUAUGUCAGCAGCUAUUCUCCACCGUGAAUUAUGUUAAAAACAAACACCGCUCGCGCCUCACAGAUGGCAGCUUACAGUCCUGCGUAAAGAUGAAAGUAAAGCCCCGAUUUGCAGACGCUGUGCGUAGAGGUUCUGGAGCAGAAGUCCCAUUGUAAACAUACCACGGCAGACCCGACGAUGUUUGCAUGAUGGUUUUUUUUUUGCAAUAUCUUUUGAAAGCCAGGUCAAGUCUCCAAAAGUACAAAGGCGAAAUAAGGGAGGCGGCUCACAACAGUUUUUGUUUGCUUGUCAUGGUCCCUGUGCCUUCUUAGCUGACUCUGUAUGGCUAGAAGUGUUUCCUGUUGUGCUGUCUCUCUCUCUCUCUCUCUCUCUCUCUCUCUCUCUCGCGUGCGCAUAACUGCCUGACCUCAUCGGCCACUGGACUGUCGCCGUUCGAAGCCUCUCUGGGCUACCAACCACCACUGUUCCCAGCCGUGGAGGGUGAGCAUGCCAUCCCUUCAGUGCAACACCAUUUCUGCAGGUACCACUGGGCAUGGCGUGCCACCGAAGCCGCUCUGCUACAGACAGCGGAGUGCAACAAGAUGCUGACCGCCGCCAGGUCCCUGCUCCUCGCAACAUGUGUAUACAUAAUGUAUUUCAUGUCUCCCAGGUCAAACGCGUGCUGUCCAGCCCGUUGUGCCCUACUUUCAGGCCCCCUCUGCCCGCCCGGCUUGUGGAUGGGCAGGAAGUGUUUAAUAUCACCUGCACUAUGCAUUAUGUCUCUCUUCCACAGCAUGUCUUUAUCCUGUCUUCCUUCUCUCACCCCAACCGGUCGCAGCAGAUGGCCCCGCCCCUCCCUGAGCCUGGUUCUGCCGGAGGUUUCUUCCUGUUAAAAGGGAGUUUUUCCUUCCCACUGUCGCCAAAGUGCUUGCUCAUAGGGGGUCAUAUGAUUGUUGGGUUUUUCUCUGUAUUUAUUAUUGUGCUAUCUACUGUACAAUAUGAAGUGCCUUAAGGCGACUGUUUGUUGUGAUUUGGCGCUGUAUAAAUAAAAUUGAAUUGAAUUGAAAAUUGAAUUAAUAUUCAGCAGUAGGAUAGUGCAAAACAUAGUAUUAAUAACUCUAACGAAGUAAUAUACACUGAACAAAAAUAUAAACACAACACCUGUGUUACUGCUCGCAUUCCCCAUGGGAUGGAGGUAGAGACCUAAAAUUCAUUCCAGAUACACAAUAUAACCAUCCCUCCCAAACAGUGGUCACAAAUCAGUCCAAAUGUGUGGUAGUGGGCACAUCUGCUAUAUUGAGA